GCUGGGUCGAGUGGUUUUGUCAUGAUCAGGUCCGCUUCUUCCAGAUAGCUCGUCAACAGCUCCAAAUCACCUGAAAUCAACGCAAAUAUGCAACAUGCAUGCAAAUCUAUCCUAAACAUGUAAAGUGAUGACAAAUGAUGAGAAAUGGUAUAAAACAAUGAUGAUAUGAUGCUAAAGUGAUGACAAAUGGAUGCUCAAAACAUGCAAAAUACACACUUAUCACCACACCCAGUGUCUGGCAACAGACUGUGCAGUCGAGUACAGGUAUCUCGUUUCCUGUCUGUUACUCGACCACUAUACUUGACCACACCCAGUGUCUGGCUACAGACUGUGCAGUCGAGUAUAGCUGGUUCAUAUCCUGUCUGUUACUCGACUUGUUACUCGACCACAUCCUACUUCUGGUAUCAGCCUGUUGUGGUCGAGUGAUUUUAGUAAUUCUGUUAUUGUUUCUGUUUUCUGCAUGUUCGCUUAGGACUAUUAGAAACCCCAAAACUGUAAUUGCUUGACUUGACUUAGUGACUUCUGAUCACAUCUCAUCUGUUUGCAUCACACCCAUUUGGAUGACACCCUAAGUACUACAACGACAUGAUAGUGUUUUAGGAUUAAUUA
rnacentral:sRNA from 1 species